rnacentral:rRNA from 1 species
UACGGGGGGGGCAAGCGUUGUUCGGAAUUACUGGGCGUAAAGGGCUCGUAGGUGGCCAACUAAGUCAGACGUGAAAUCCCUCGGCUUAACCGGGGAACUGCGUCUGAUACUGGAUGGCUUGAGUUCGGGAGAGGGAUGCGGAAUUCCAGGUGUAGCGGUGAAAUGCGUAGAUAUCUGGAGGAACACCGGUGGCGAAGGCGGCAUCCUGGACCGAUACUGACGCUGAGGCGCGAAAGCGUGGGGAGCAAACAGG